GUUUGGUUAAGUUAGAAAGGGCGCACGGUGGAUGCCUUGACACUAGGAGUCGAUGAAGGACGGGACUAACGCCGAUAUGCUUCGGGGAGCUGUAAGUAAGCUUUGAUCCGAAGAUUUCCGAAUGGGGAAACCCACCAUACGUAAUGGUAUGGUAUCCUUAUCUGAAUACAUAGGGUAAGGAAGACAGACCCAGGGAACUGAAACAUCUAAGUACCUGGAGGAAGAGAAAGCAAAUGCGAUUUCCUGAGUAGCGGCGAGCGAAACGGAACAUAGCCCAAACCAAGAGGCUUGCCUCUUGGGGUUGUAGGACAUUCUAUACGGAGUUACAAAGGAACGAGGUAGACGAAGCGACCUGGAAAGGUCCGUCGUAGAGGGUAACAACCCCGUAGUCGAAACUUCGUUCUCUCUUGAAUGUAUCCUGAGUACGGCGGAACACGUGAAAUUCCGUCGGAAUCUGGGAGGACCAUCUCCCAAGGCUAAAUACUCCCUAGUGAUCGAUAGUGAACCAGUACCGUGAGGGAAAGGUGAAAAGCACCCCGGAAGGGGAGUGAAAGAGAUCCUGAAACCGUGUGCCUACAAAUAGUCAGAGCCCGUUAACGGGUGAUGGCGUGCCUUUUGUAGAAUGAACCGGCGAGUUACGAUCCCGUGCGAGGUUAAGCUGAAGAGGCGGAGCCGCAGCGAAAGCGAGUCUGAAUAGGGCGUUUAGUACGUGGUCGUAGACCCGAAACCAGGUGAUCUACCCAUGUCCAGGGUGAAGUUCAGGUAACACUGAAUGGAGGCCCGAACCCACGCACGUUGAAAAGUGCGGGGAUGAGGUGUGGGUAGCGGAGAAAUUCCAAUCGAACCUGGAGAUAGCUGGUUCUCCCCGAAAUAGCUUUAGGGCUAGCCUUAAGUGUAAGAGUCUUGGAGGUAGAGCACUGAUUGGACUAGGGGUCCUCAUCGGAUUACCGAAUUCAGUCAAACUCCGAAUGCCAAUGACUUAUCCUUAGGAGUCAGACUGCGAGUGAUAAGAUCCGUAGUCAAAAGGGAAACAGCCCAGACCGCCAGCUAAGGUCCCAAAGUGUGUAUUAAGUGGAAAAGGAUGUGGAGUUGCUUAGACAACUAGGAUGUUGGCUUAGAAGCAGCCACCAUUUAAAGAGUGCGUAAUAGCUCACUAGUCGAGUGACUCUGCGCCGAAAAUGUACCGGGGCUAAAUACACCACCGAAGCUGCGGAUUGAUACCGAAUGGUAUCAGUGGUAGGGGAGCGUUCUAAGGACAGUGAAGUCAGACC
rnacentral:rRNA from 1 species